CAUUGGUAUUGGGUAAAUGAUGUGUAGGAUAGGAGGGAGACUUUGAAUUGGCGUCGCUAGGCGUUGAGGAGUCAUUGGUGAAAUACCUCCCUUUAUUUAUCUGAUGCCUAAUCUGGAGACAGAGACAGUGUGUGGUGGGUAGUUUGACUGGGGUGGUCGCCUCCAAAAAUGUAACGGAGGCUUUCAAAGGUACCCUCAGCAUGUUUGGUAAUCAUGCGAAGAGCGCAAUAGCAUAAGGGUGCUUGACUGUGAGGCCAACAAGCCGAUCAGGUAGGAAACU
rnacentral:rRNA from 1 species